CCUACGGGAGGCAGCAGUGGGGGAUAUUGCACAAUGGGGGAAACCCUGAUGCAGCGACGCCGCGUGUGGGAAGACGGUCUUCUGGAUUGUAAACCACUGUACCCAGGGACGAAAAUGACGGUACCUGGGGAGGAAGCUCCGGCUAACUACGAGCCAGACGCCGCGGUAAUCAGUAGGGAGGAAGCGUUGUCAGGAAUUACUGGGUGUAAAGGGAGCGUAGGCGGGGAUGCAAGUCGGGUGUCAAAACUACCGGCUCAACCGAUAGUCGUACUCAAAACUGCAGCUCUUGAGUGAAGUAGAGGCAGGCGGAAUUCCUAGUGUAGCGGUGAAAUGCGUAGAUAUUAGGAGGAACACCAGUGGCGAAGGCGGCCUGCUGGGCUUUUACUGACGCUGAGGCUCGAAAGUGUAGGGAGCAAACAGGAUUAGAUACCCGAGUAGUC
rnacentral:rRNA from 1 species